CACGUAGGGGGGCAAGCGUUUGUCCGGAUUUAUUGGGCGUAAAGAGCUCGUAGGCGGUUCGGUAAGUCGGGUGUGAAACCUCCAGGCUCAACCUGGAGACGCCACCCGAUACUGCUGUGACUAGAGUCCGGUAGGGGAGCGUGGAAUUCCUGGUGUAGCGGUGAAAUGCGCAGAUAUCAGGAGGAACACCAGCGGCGAAGGCGGCGCUCUGGGCCGGAACUGACGCUGAGGAGCGAAAGCGUGGGGAGCAAACAGG
rnacentral:rRNA from 1 species